rnacentral:rRNA from 1 species
GAGUUUGAUCCUGGCUCAGAUUGAACGCUGGCGGCAGGCCUAACACAUGCAAGCCGAGCGGAUGACGGGAGCUUGCUCCUUGAUUCAGCGGCGGACGGGUGAGUAAUGCCUGGGAAUCUGCCUGGUAGUGGGGGACAACGUUUCGAAAGGAACGCUAAUACCGCAUACGUCCUACGGGAGAAAGCAGGGGACCUUCGGGCCUUGCGCUAUCAGAUGAGCCUAGGUCGGAUUAGCUAGUUGGUGGGGUAAUGGCUCACCAAGGCGACGAUCCGUAACUGGUCUGAGAGGAUGAUCAGUCACACUGGAACUGAGACACGGUCCAGACUCCUACGGGAGGCAGCAGUGGGGAAUAUUGGACAAUGGGCGAAAGCCUGAUCCAGCCAUGCCGCGUGUGUGAAGAAGGUCUUCGGAUUGUAAAGCACUUUAAGUUGGGAGGAAGGGCAGUAAGUUAAUACCUUGCUGUCUUGACGUUACCGACAGAAUAAGCACCGGCUAACUCUGUGCCAGCAG